GUAUUUAGCUGUUAACUAAAAUUUCGUGGGAUGGUAGCCCACCAAUCUAG
rnacentral:tRNA from 1 species